CCCGCUGAACUUAAGCAUAUCAAUAAGCGGAGGAAAAGAAACUAACAAGGAUUCCCCUAGUAACUGCGAGUGAAGCGGGAAAAGCUCAAAUUUAAAAUCUGGCGGUUCUUGUAGCCGUCCGAGUUGUAAUUUAGAGAAGUGUUAUCCGCGCUGGACCGUGUACAAGUCUCCUGGAAUGGAGCGUCAUAGAGGGUGAGAAUCCCGUCUUUGACACGGACUGCCAGGGCAUUGUGAUGCGCUCUCAAAGAGUCGAGUUGUUUGGGAAUGCAGCUCAAAAUGGGUGGUAAAUUCCAUCUAAAGCUAAAUAUUGAGGAGAGACCGAUAGCGAACAAGUACCGUGAGGGAAAGAUGAAAAGAACUUUGGAAAGAGAGUUAAACAGUACGUGAAAUUGUUGAAAGGGAAACGCUUGAAGUCAGUCGCGUCGUCCGAGACUCAGCCUCGCCUCGGCUUGGUGUACUUCUCGGAUGACGGGUCAGCAUCAAUUUUGCCCCUUGGAUAAUGGCGAGGGAAAUGUGACACCUUUGCGGGUGUGUUAUAGUCUCUAGUCGCAUGCAAGGGUCGGGAUUGAGGAACUCAGCACGCGCCUUCGGGCGUCGGGGUUCGCCCACGAUACGUGCUUAGGAUGUUGGCGUAAUGGCUUUAAACGACCCGUCUUGAAACACGG
rnacentral:rRNA from 1 species